rnacentral:snRNA from 1 species
AUACGUUUCUCGGUCUUUUGACUAAGAUAAAGUGUAAUAUUUGUUUUAUCAGUUUAAUAUAUGAUAUGUGGACCAUAUGUUCACUUUGAUAUUUAAUUUAUUUUUAUAGGUAUCAAUUGUGUGCCUUCGCACCACAC